ACAGAGAUCUACCUAUCUCUGCCCCCUGAUUAAAGGCAUGCAAGGAUUAAAUAAAUAAAGGAUUAAAGGCAUGCAGCACAACUGCAAGGAUGAUUUGCUGUUUUGAGUGUUAGCAUUGUUAAUUAGUGACAGCUUGGUAGGGGAUUUUUUUUUAUUAAGGCAGUGUUACUCAGUAGGGUGGAUGGGAAAGAGAAACUAGGGGUUUUUUUUCUCCCGAGGAGGGGAGAGCAGUAGGGGGAUGGGAAGGGUUAUUUUUUGAGGGUUUCUCUCUGUAGUUCUGGUUGUCAUGAACUCACUCUGUAGAUCAGACUGGCCUUGAACUCAGAGAUCUGCCUGCCUCUGCCUCCUGAGUGCUGGGACCCGACAAGACACCUAGUUUUGAAUUUGUCGUUACCAUUUCUGGGAACUUCAGGAGUCUCCUUUAUCAAGUCCCUUGAGUAUUGGUUUUCUAGCCUUUAAAACAGAUAUUCAAAGAGGAAUGAUUGAUAGACUAUCUAUGAAAAGUCUCUCUGAGCUGUCAAUCAGGCAGUUGACAGUCUGGCCUGGCAGACCUGUUUAGAAGCUUACAAAACAGUUUUUGCCUGCAUCUUCUAAUGAAGUUGAUUGCAAGGACUAGUGAAUAGCUUUUGAAAAAAGAAUCUCUUUUGUUUAUUUUCAUGUGUAAAGUGAUUGAAAAUCAGAGCACUUUAUAUCUGAGUCUAAUGUCAUUUGGAGUUGAUUGUGUUUAUGGAGAAAUCUUGGGAGAGAGAAGACCUUCUGGUGCAUUGUUGGGCGUAUCGGGGGCUUGCGGGCUUAGUUUAUGUCUUCUAGAUUAUCUAGACUCGGAACUUGGCAAAGACAGAGAGAUCUCUGGUCUAUAUAAUGCUGUAGUUACGAGCUGGUUUCUGGGGCCCCACUCUGGGAAAUGAUCCUUGGGCUUCCAAAUGAUCAUGAGCUUUAGAAUGCACACAGCCAAACCUAGAUGGUAUCUCUCAGCCAGUCACUCCGUAUGGCCAGUCACUCCGUAUGCCAUAGGAGACUGACGGAAUCAAAGAACACGGAUGUGGGGGUCUGUGGUCCUGUUGCUACGGUGACACAGAAUCCCGUUUCACAGUAGUUUCACCUUGUAUUUUCUUUUUGUCAGUGGAAGGCAGAACUUGCUAAAAUCGAGAUGAAAAUAUAUUUAAUGAAUAUACCAGCCAGCCACAUAGUCGUUAUUAUCAAGUGCUCCGUCUCCGGUGUGUUCACUUUGUUUCCAUGCCAAUGGCAGCAGUUCACACCCGCCACACUACUCAUGGAAGCAAAGUGUUGUCUCACGGUGUUAGGAAGACCGUUGUUUUAUUAGAUUAUGUACUAUAUUUUCAGUGUGCGUGUGAACUUGUGUGUGUGUGUGGUGCCUGGCACAGGGACAGAGAGAGCCCUAUUGAUUUUUGUUUUAUUGUUACUGGCAUUGUCGGGAUGGGGCCUUUGUGCAGCUGACGGAGGGUGUUAGUGAAUUAUAUCCCUGGUACAGUCACAUUUGCUAGUUUACCAUCUGGUUUUAAUAUGGUCAGACUUGUGUCAGAACUGUAAUUAAGAAGGAGAAGUUGGAUUAAGGCAGAAAACAAGUGACUUGUUUUGUUUUUGCUUUCGAUUGAGUGAUAAUAAGAGAGUGGUAAUAAUAAGUUCUGCAUUCGUGUGGAAGCGAGACACUUAGUUGAAAUGAAAAGGACUUUGGGCUCGGGGUGGGGAGACCCGGUUCCUAGAUCACUGCUUUCUUAAAGGUCCUAAUGAAUUCUGUGACAAGUGGUUACGUUUUGUCUGGAGUGAAGGAAGCAGCGAUUAUGGUAGGAAGGAUUUUUUUUUUUCCCCAUGAACGUGUUGAAGCUGCAUGAAGGGAACUGAAGCCAGUCGAUUAGUUACUAGUGCUGCAGAAAUGAGCAAAAUAUGCAGAAUUAUUUCUCUUGUGAAGGAGGAGAUGUUUUGAGAGAGAUCAUGGGGGCGCAUGGCAUGGUUUAUUGUAUUCAUCCAUUUUUGGUGCCAAAACAAAAAAGAACACUAACUUGAUGUGAGAUUCUGUGUUGCAGGAGUUACAUGUACAGUACUGAGAAAGAGCCCACCAGCAAUGUCAUGUUGUGUUUAAGAAUCUAGUGGGCUUGAAGUGUGGCUCAGUUGGUAAAGGGCUUGCCACGGAAGCAUGGGGACCUGAGUUCAAUCCCCAGAGCCCAUGCCAAAAAGAUGGGGGUGGUAGCUUGUGCCUGUAAUACAGCUCUUGGGAAGUGGAGGCAGGUCUGAAGAUCGCUGGGACUCAUCCAGUGGCCUCCCACGUGGGCGAGUUCCAGGCCAGCGAGAGAUCCUGUCUCAGAAAACAAGGCGGCCCUCUCCUGAGGAACAACACUUGAGAUAGGUCUCUGGUCUCCACAUGCGUGUGCAUGUGUACUCUCAACACACAUAAUGCCCCUACACAAACACACACGCACUUGCACACACGAAUAGAAUUCUAUGUCUAGCACGCAUGAAGGAUAGAAGAGGUGUGGGCUGGCCACCGUGCUGGUGGGAGAACGGGACUUGGGUUGGUGCAGCAGGAAGUGGGGAGAAGUUUGCUGAGAGAGAGUUUGAUUUGCCAUUUGCUUCUAGUGUCUCCCCUUUCCCAACCGGUUUACGCUCAUACUGCCAGGAAAUGCUCUUCAGGAUCCUCCUUAGCUAGUGAAAUCCUGUGAAGAAAUGAUGCACCUUGUCUACACCCGAGGCUCCUCAAGACUCCCUUGCCCACUCUGUCGUUUUUUUACCCAGCCUAUUUUCUGCCUCUUUCACAUUGUCUUUUCCUCUUCAUUGUUGCUACUGUUGUCUUUAAGGAUUACUGAACAAUGGAAACUAUCAGUCUGGAGGACUCUGCCUAUGGAAGGGAUGUGGGAUGAGUCAGGAUUGUGGUGGUUAGCUUGAUUCACUCAUCUUCUCCCUCCCCAGUGCUCCCUAUUGAACCCAGGGGUUUAAGCAUGGGAGGCAAGUGCUCUGCCACUGAGCUACAUUCCCAGCCCCACUUGAUUGAUUCUUCUACUUUAAAUAAAAGGGAACAAAACUACUUUUAUGUACUGUGUGUAUGUGUGUGUAUAUAGUUAUGUAUAUCUACACACACAUAUUUAUGUAGGUUUGGGUUUUUGUUUGUUUUGUUUUGCUUUGCUUUUUUGAGACAGGGUCUCACUAUGUUGCCCUGGCUGGCUAGGAACUCACUCUGUGGACCAGAUUAGCUUCAAAUUCCCCUUGCCUCUGCCUCCUGCUUCUGGGUUAAAGGUGUGCCUUGCCGUGCUUGGCUGACUGCCUUCAUCUGAGCCAUUUAUUGUUGCUGUGGAGACACUGUGUAUCCCAGGGCGGUUUUGAACUCUGCAUGGACAGGAGAGAAGAGAUCCCUACAAGUUGUCCUCUGACCUCUACAGGUGUCCUAUGGCACUCUUGUGCUGUGCCCCCUCCCCGCAGAGAUACAUAUGCAGAUGCACAUUCAUGCACACACAUAUAAAUAGAAAUGUAACAAUAAGAAAAUACUCAUAGAGACCUAGAGUUUAAAAAGAUGCUUGGAAAUAAAAUACCAAGUCUUCCUUUGCAGAGUCAAACGUGACAACUGGUCACACAGUGUCUAUGUGAGGGCAAAGUUCUAGCCCUCUUGGUGGCUGUUUAUUGGUUAUUCAAUGGCAGGGAGAUAACCCAGCACUUUACGGAGUUCCCAGCUAGGUGAAACUGUUGAUACCGUGCCCCUCCCGCCCGCCCGCCCCUCAACCACAGUGUCAUGGCUUCUUCAGCAAUAGGGUCUUACAAUCGCGUUCCGAUAGACAGAUCUUGGAAUGGCAAUAGCCUAUUGUUUCGGUCACUCCUGACCAACAACUUACUUUUCUUUUUUCUAUUAGAGACUGAGUUUUCCUCUUUAUAGCCCUGAUUGUCCUGGAGCUCACUCUGUAGACCAGGAUGACUUCAAAUUCUCAGAAACCCUCCUGCCUCUUUCUCCUAAGUUCUAGAAUUAAAGGUGUAUGCCACUAUAAACUAUACCUGGCCUCUGUCUUUUAUUUUCUUAGUUUUAAGUAUUAUGACUAGGGUAAGGUGAAAUAUCAAAGUGGCUUUAAUUUUGCAUUUCCCUGGGGUCUCAAGAUGGUGAACACUUCAAAAAAACCCAAAAACAAAACAAAAACAAAAAAACAAACAAAAAAAAAGCCCCAAACCAUUCCUUAGCCAUUUGUAUUUUCUUUGAGGACUCUGUUUAGUUCCAUAGCCAGCUUUAACUGGGUUAUUUGUUUGCUUGGUGUUUUGCUUUUUGAGGUCUUCGUAUAUUUGUAUAUAGUAGUCUUCAUGGGAUGCUUAGCUGGCAGAGAUGGUUCCAUGCUGUAGGUGCCUCUUCAGGCGAUCGGCGGGUGGCUUUGUAGCAUAGAAGCUCUUCAAUUUUGUGAACUUGGUUGUUGGUCCUGUUUCUUGCUGUGGCCAGAAUCCUAUUCAGAAAGUCUACCAGGGACUAUAUGCUGAAGUGUCUAACAGUGAGAUCUCUGGUUGGUUUGGGGUUGGGUUUGUGUGCAGUUCAGAGAAAUGGUCAAGUUUCAUUUGGCUGCACGCAGAUGCUCCUGUUUCCCCAACACCACUUGUUAAAGAUGUCAUCUUUUUUCCUGUUUGUAUUUUUGGUCUCUUUGUCAAAAAUCAGGUGGUUGUAGGUGUGUGGACUUAUACCUGGGUCCUCUGUUCUAUGAUAUCAGUGUGUCUGCUCUUGCUUGUGUGCCCUGCUGUCUUUACUACUGGGACUUGGUAGCUUACGCUGAUAGCAGCAACGGAGGAGCUGAUAACAGCAACAUUUUUGUUAUUCAGAUUUACGUUGACUAGAAAACUGGGGGGGAACCAGAGAGAACCAGUGUGUUUGGGCCAUGACACAGUACGGGUGAACUCAUAGUACAUAUGGUUGCCUGCACAAAACCUACAAGAUUAAGCCUUGGCCACUCAAUAUUUUAGUGUGGAUGGAAGAGGAGAUCAGGAGAGACCUCCUCUUCCCCCAGUGGGGUAACUAUUGACAGUUGAUGGCUUCUGAGGGAAGUCUUGAAACAGGACCACCACACAGCAUCCCCCCUCCCAUGAGUUCUAGGAAUCAAAUUCAGGUCUUGGUAACUACGCUAUCUCCCAUGCAAGGCCUUAUCUCUCUCUGGUAUCUUUGACACAGUGUUACGUGUCUGUCUUAGGGUUUUACUGCUGUGAACAGAAACCAUGACUAAGGCAACUCUUAUGAGGAUGACAUUUAGUUGGGGCUGGCUGGCUUACAGGUUCAGAGGUUCAGUCCAUUAUCAUUAAGGUGAGAGCAUGGCAGCAUCCAGGCAGGCAUGGUGCGGGAGGAGCUGAGAGUUCUACAUCUUCAUCUGCAGGCUGCUAGCAGAAGACUGGCUUCCAGGCAGCAAGGACUAAGGUAUUAAAGCCCACACCCACAGGGACACACCUACUCCAACAAGACCACAUCUCCUAAGAGUGCCACGCCCAUCCCAGUGUCUGGGGCUGCCCUCCAGCUCUGCUAUGUAGCUCAGGAAUGACUUUAACUUCCUGGUCCUCCUGACACCACUGACCACACCCUCCAAAUUCUGGGACUACCACCAUGAGGUCACCUCGUCCUUCUGCAGGUGGCUUAUCUCUGCUGGGAGGAGAAUGGACUGAUUGCAUAGUUUAACUGCCCCUUUGACCUUUCGGUUGAAUGGGCCAUAAAACCUGCAUUUUUUCUGCUUCCCUUUUCCAAAGGUGUUGUUGCAGGUGUGAAGUGAAAAUGUUUACUAAACAGUAAAUUCUCUAAGUCCUCUGCAUUUCCAGCAUUGUUGGGCUGCUCUGAGUCUGUGUGGGAUGAAGGUCUCUAAGCUCCCCUGCUGAUUCUGUGGCCAGCAUCCUUUCCUCCUUGACUUAGCAUUCCUGCCCUCUUGACUGUUUGCUUCAUCCACAGGGCCGUCACCCUGCAGGCUUCUCAGAGGAGUGUAGUAUCUUUGCCUCCUGAGCACACAGCCUAGUGGGAGGUCACGGGGAGGUGUACAGUGAAGGCACCCAGGCCACUGGCCACAGCACACACACAGGGCCCUUCACCUGUGCUGAGACAUUUGGUGUAGAUAAGGUCUUGGACAAGGGCAUUGCUAAGAAGAUGCACUGAGAGAUGGUGGGGUAGAAAAGCCAGGCUGGCUGGGCAGCCGGGGUGACUGUCACAUUCGCAGGGAUCAGAGAAAAGGGGCUGAGUGCCAUGGAGCUUGGGCGAUGUGAGGAACCAGGUAGGUACAAGCCGUAGGUUAUAGUGAAGUUAGGCCUGAACUUAGUGGAGAUGUACUGUCUCUAAAGCAACAGUUCAACCUUCCUAACUCUGCGACCCUUUCAUAAGCUUCCUCGUGUUGUGAACCUCCUCCAACCAUAAAGUUGUUUUCAUUGCGUCUUCAUAGCUGUGAUUUUUGCUACUGUUGUGAAUAGUAAUCUGAUAGACAGGAUAUCUGAUAUGGGCUGAGAACCCGUCUUCUUUAGCAAAGGUCACUGAGAUUUCUGAAGCUGUACUCAUAGCUUAACUCUUGGAGACAUUAGGAGGAAACCCCUGCAUUUUGAGUUUCCAGGGUUCCUAUUUCCAUUCGGGUCACAUUCAUUGUCAUCUGAACGUUAUGCACGUACGGCAAAAGUGGAAGCUAUAAUGACUAUGAUGAAUGUCGCCUCAGCUACAAAGAAGUUGGGGAUUUCCAAACAUUUUGUUGUCAUUAAGAGCUGUCUCUAGCCAGGUGUGGUGGCUCAUACCUUUAAUUCCAGCACUCGGAGGCAGAGGCAGUCAAAUUUCUUUGAGUUCGAGGACAGCCUGGUCUACAAAUCAGUCCAGGACAGCCAGGUCUCUGCUACACAGAGAAACAUCUUCUUUUUUUCUUUUCUUUUUUCUUUUUUUUUUUUUUUUUUGCCAAAGGAUUUUUUUUUUUUUUUAAUUGAGCAAGGCAUGACAGGUACUGCAAGAAGAGUGGAGCCAGGGAACAGCUGUUCAGAUGUGCGGAACCUGCCUGCAGCAGUCCUUUACUGUCUCCUGGCGCAAACACACUGGCGGUGCCCUCCAGAGCCGGAGCACCCUUCUGCGAGAUGAAACACUAUAGGAAAGGAGAACGAAUUGAUAAGAAAAUUUAAUAGCCCGGGUGCAUUCCAAGAGUAAAGUAAGUCACACACCCCCUUAUUGACACACUGAGAUUCCCCAGGCACUCAUGGAGAUUCUGACCACGGGCACUGCUCAGAGCUCUCACUGUCCUACAGACAGCUGGGCGAGAAAAACCAACUCUCUCUAUGUAAGGAGCUCACCAGCCUAUGUAGGGAGGCCAGCACACUGUUGUGCAGCUCGCAAGCAGUAGAGGCUGUAUGGGUGCGCACAGAGCCACUCACCUCGUUAUGGAGACCGGUAACAUAAAUCCUGCUGUCUAUGGUAUCCUGAUGCCUUCCUCAAGCUGGAUUUGCAGCCAGUGCAGGCACAGGAAGCUAGAACAAAGAACUUCUUUUGUGUGGUAUCUAUCAUAUCUAUCUAUCUAUCUAUCUAUCUAUCUAUCUAUCUAUCUAUCUAUCUAUCUACCUAUCACCUGUCUGUCUGUCUAUCUAUCAGCAGUCUAUGUGUCCCAGGCUAGGUAUGGAUUUGCUUUAUAGCUGAGGUUGACCCUGAACUUCUGGUCCCCCUGUCUCUGCAUCCUAAGUACUGAGAUUUUAGCGUGCUUCAUCGUGCUUGGUUUUAUGCUGUGCUGGGAAUUGAAAUCAGAGUUUCACAUAUGCUAGGCGAGUUCACUGCCAACUGAGCUGUAUGCCCAAGCAAAAUCGUUACAAUUAAAACAUCUUCUUGUAUUCUUUUUUUUUUUUUUUUUUUUUUAUAAGGUUCACUUAUUAUAUGCGUGUGAGUACACUGUCGCUGACAUUGGAUCCCAUUACGGAUGGUUGUGAGCCACCAUGUGGUUGCUGGCAAUGGAACUCAGGACCUCUGGAAGAGCCCUCUCUGCAGCCCUGCUUUGUUGGUUUAAAUCUUAUUUUGGGGGAGCGAUUUCUGGUUAUCUUGGACUUUGCUGGGUGGUGGAGGAUUACAUGAACUUUUCUACCUCCUGGUGCUGGCAUCACAGGCAUUUUGUGGCCACCCUCAUUUUAUGCAGUGCUGGGGUCUGGUGUUGGGUAUCCAGCUCAGGGCUUUGUGAAUGCUAGGUAGGCACUCUACCAACUGUGCCUUCUAGUUUAUUAAACCUUCUCAAAAGAGCUCAAGUAGCAGGCAAAAGGGGCCUGAAAUGUCCAGAACAGCAAAAAGCAUGAAAGGGUCUUUUUGAGGUGACCUGGCACAGUCCCUCCAGCUGAAAAGAGGCUGUGUUUCCUUAUCAUGUCCUUCCUGCUCCAGUUGCCCAGGUGUGCUUUGUGGUUUCCAAAUACCCACUGGACCGGCUUUAGUCUGACGGCACCAGCUUCUUCAUAAUCCUUAACUUCCUUUUCUUAGAACCUUUAUGAAACUCUCUUCUUCAACACGGCCCUCAAAACAACUCUGCUGUGCAACGUAGUCGCUAUUCGAAGUUUUUCACCCACUGGCAGAAGUCAGUGGGAGAGCCCUUACUGGUGGCCUGGUUCUAUGGUGGAUACUUAUUGGCGGAGGCACCUCUCAUAUUGUCGCUGUCGCCAUUCUGUGGUGAAAUAAUGAGGAGGUUAAAAUGGCUUUGCAGCUACCUGUCCAGCACCCUGUCUGCCUGCAUGCCAUCAUGCUUCCUGCCAUGACGCUAAUGGACUAAACCCCUGAAACUGUAAGCCAGCCCCAGUGACAUGUUUCCCUUCAUAAGAGUUGCCAUAGCUGGGCGUGGUGGUGCAUGCCUUUAAUCCCAGCACUUGGGAGGCAAAGGCAGGCAGAUUCUGGGUUCGAGGCCAGCCUGGUCUACAAAGUGAGUUCCAGGACAACCAGGGCUACACAGAGAAACCCUGUCUCGAAAAACAAAACAAAAAAAAAGAGUUGCCAUGAUCAUGAUGUCUCUUCUUUGAUAAUGUCAUACACAUGUGCAAUGUAUCUCUACAUAUCCACCCAACUCCCCCAGAUAAUGCUAGCAUACCCCCACCUUCAUGCGACCCCCCUUCUUUGUACAAAGUCCAAUUAGUCCAACUAGGAUGUCGAUUGAACAGCCCAACUGUCUUGGUCUUGUACAGGUGACCACAGCUCUAGUGAGUUUAAUGGAUACAGUGGCCGCAUCCAUCUAGUCAGCCUUCCCCAUCCUUUGGCAUUUUACAUUCUUCCUGCUGCUUACGAGAUGUUCCCUGAGCCCUGGGACCGGUGGGUGUUGAUUUAGAUGUCCCAUUAGGGUGAGCACUCAAUGGGCACUUAUCCUUGGUAUUUUGCCAGUUAUGAGUGUCUGUGUCAACUGUUCUCUACUGCUCUGGGUAAAAUCGAGUGCAGACACACAUAGACUAGGACAGUUUAACAGUGUCUUAGCUGAGGUUCUACUGCUGUGAGCAGACAUCAUGACCAAGGCAAGUCUUAUAAAGGACACCAUUUAAUUGGGGCUGGUUUACAGGUUCAGAGGUUCAGUCCAUUCUCAUCAAGGUGGGAGCAUGGCAGCAUCCAGGCAGACAUGAUGCAGGAGGAGCUGAGAGUUCUCCAUCUUCAUCUGGAAGCUGUUAGCAAAAUACUGGCUUCCAGGCAGCUAGGAUGAGGGUCUUAAAGCCCACACCCACAGUGACACGCCUACUUCAACAGGGCCACACCUUCUAAUUGUGCCAUUCUCUGGGCUGAGAAAAUAUACAAAUUGUCACAAAUAGCAUGUUCAUUUGAGUAAAACCACAGUUGGAGGUUGGUCUUUAGGGUUUAUGACCUACAGAGCCAUGGGCUUCUAACCAAGUUCAUAGUAUCAGACAUGAAUUUCCUUCUGUGAAGCAGGCCUCACGUCCAGUCAGAAAGCAGUUAGUUAUUGCAUAACGGUCACACUACUCCACCAGUGCACAUCUUGCCUGAGCUGUCGAUCUGUAGCUCUUGGGGUUGGCUGUUACAGCUGAUGGCUUCUCUUGCAGCUUUCUAACACUGUGGAAGAUAUUUAGCAGGGCGAGAGUUUUAAGGUCAGUUCCAGCUUGAUUUCUGUGUGUCCUGUAACCAAAGUGUGUUGUACCUUCAACAAUAGGACAUUACCAUCCAGCUAUGGGAAGCAGCCCACAGCAAUGGCAGUAGCCUGUGUUGUAUGUAGGGGUGAGGGUAGGGGACCUUCCUCAUAGCAAUUCAUAGGGAGGUAUCAAUACUUAGCUCUGAGAUUUUCACUUAAUGACCCCUGUCUUCUGAGGGAACCAUCUAUGCAGGGUACCUGUGUUCAAACUACCUUUUAAAAAAUUAUAUUUUGAAUUAGCAUACAAAAUAGUGGUUUCUGUAGAGUUUUUGUACAUUCGUAGUUUUGGGUAAUCUACUCCCACACACUCCUGCUUUGUCCCCUCAUCUCACUCCUGCUUUGACCUUUGUACAGUCAGGUCAUGGAGUGAGAUCACUGACCCGCGGGAUUCAUCUCAAGCUUCCAAGGAUCUUCAUUUACACCUGCAGGUUGGCAAGUUCAACUUACAUAUUUUUUCUUUUCUUUUCUUUCUUUCUUUCUUUCUUUCUUUCUUUCUUUCUUUCUUUCUUUCUUUCUUUCUCUCUCUCUCUCUCUCUCUCUCUCUCUCUCUCUCUCUCCCUUUCUUUCUUUCUUUCUUUCUUUCUUUCUUUCUACAUAUUUUUUUCUUAACGGACCAUAUCACUUUCCUUUGGACACAUAAAUCCAUAUAAAUGUGUGUGUGUGUUUUAUACACCUAUGUGUAGUAACAGCUUUAUUGAGAUAAAGUAGUUAUGCAGAUAACCCUGUUAGUAUUUAACGGGCAUGACUUGGUGUGUUGGACACAUGUAAUGUAUUUGCAAUACUGAAGCCAUCAUCAAGAUGAUAAACUUCAUCCUCUCUGAAAGUUGGAGUCACUCCUGUGUGCGGUGAGAACGUUUAGCAGGGCAACUGUCCUCCUGUCAGAUGGUCAGCAUCCAGUGUCCCAUUGCUCAAUGUAGGCAUGAUGUGUGAUGGUCUCCAGGCUUGUUCAUCUUGCACACCCUUAACUCACACUCACCAAACACUCUCUCUCGCUCUCCUUCCUCCCUGCUCUUGGCCACCACCCUUCCUAGUGGCUACUUCUUCAAGUCUGACUAUUGUAUUUUGUUUUUAAAUUGAUUUGAUGACAGUGACCUCACAGAUAAGAGCAUGGCAUGGCUAGAUUAAGGGAACCACUCAGACACUUGCUCAGGUCCGAACCCUGUAUAUCUGUCUCAGUGACUUUCUGCACCGUUAGAACGGCCAUGCUUGAGGCUUGGAGCUUAGCUUCACUGAGGGUCUUACGUUUUCCAUAUCAAUUGUCUACUUAUGUACUGUGACAGUUGAAAGCUUCAUCUCCUCUUGGACAACUCGUCCUUUGGCCUGACUUCAUCCAUCCCUGUCAGCUGAUAUUACCUCUCUGGGUCUCCUGUGAGUUGACCGUGCUGUUUGUCUUCCAUGACUGAGUGGCGUCACUGGUAUCCUACCUCAGGUUUUGCUCACACUUUUGUGAGGCUUUCUUUCUUCAUGAGGCUAAACAGUAGCCUGCUGUAUGGAUGACCCCAUUCCUCUAUCAUUCUUAUUUAAUGUCCUUAGAGGAGAUAUCCUUCCUUAAUGCCAGUGACUUUGAGCGUUAAAGCAGGUGAUGUCAGAACUGGAAAGCAGUGGGAACCUCAGUGCAUGUGGGAACAAGAGGAUCCGAGGAGUGUCUGACUCAAGGGACAUUGCACUUGGUCUGUUCCUGAGCCAUAAACCACAGGGAAUGACCCAACUUUAAGACACUAGGCUUUGACAUCACAGCUAACACACACAUCCAGAACUCCCAACUCAGUGGUUGCCUGACCCUGGUUUCCAGGUUCCAUAGCUGGUUUCGAUAGGAUUUGACAGAUCGUAAAUCAGUGCUCCAUCUGGAUGGAGGCACUGCUCACCAGCAGCCAUGUCCUAGUCAUAAGACAGCAUUUCAUGGCCCUUCUUCCCAUAGUCUGGCUCAUACAUUCUUUUUGUCCCCCUUUCUCAGUGUUCUUUGAGCCAUGGAGGGGGUGAUGUUGGUGUCCUGUUUAACCCGAGCACCAUGGACAUUCUUGUAUAUAUUUUGGUGGACAUACACUCAUUUCCUUUGGACAGUUGCUUAAGAGCAGAGUUGCUGUAUGUUAGAGAAGGUAGAUGUCUGGCUUGGGUACAUGUCAUUGAUUUACAUAUCAUGAGGUAUAUGCCCACCAGGGAUAUAUAUAUGAUUCCGUUCACUCCACAUACUUGCUAAUGGUUGUAUGCCCUAUGACCCUCAACCUUGUUCCAUGCUGGAGAGCAAAUCAGGACUUUGCACAUGCUAGCUUAAAUGCUCCACCAUGUAGCACAUCCAUGUAGCACUUGUAUGUAUGUGUGAUUUUUUUUUUUUAAGACUUAUUUUAAAUCAUGUUUCUCUGCAUGGGUAUGUGUACAGACUGAUGUGCAGGUGGCUAAGGAGGGCCAGAGGCAUUAGGUCUGUACAGAGGCUUUGAGUCUCCCAGUUUGCACACUGGGAAACAAACUGGUUUCUGCAGAGCGCUAGCCACGCUCUCUCGACUGCCAAGCCUCCCCUGUGUGAUUUUUUUUUUAAUCCUGCCUUCAAGUAUGAGCCUGAGAGGAGGUUGCCAAUCGAUAUACCUGUGGAAUGAAAAUCAAUUGCCAAUAUGUAAGCACAGCUCCCUACUCAUUAGGUUAUCUGUCUCACGGACAGACAGACAGACACCCAAACCCAGCAGGAGGCUCCAGUAAGCACCAGGAGAAUACAUCGGGACUUUGCCUGCUUUUCCUUUGAAACAACCUGGGCUAAUAAACUCUGGUCUCGGUUUUCUUGCAUUCUUCCACGAUAAGAAUCAUGCUGAAAUUUAAACAAAAGGUCCCCCUCCUGCAGGUUCCUGGAGGGAAGUGUGACUUGAAGCGUUCCAGGGUUUUGCUCCUUUCUGUUUCUUUGUUGAAAGACCCAGGGAAACCCCUGGAGCAGGAGAGAUCACACAGCAGCAGUGUUUGUCAAGCUGCUGGGGGUGGGGUGGGGUGGGGGCAGUUCUGUUUUAUUUUAUUCUGCAUUUCUGGUGCCCACACUAAUUUGUUGCUACCGGUGUGUCCAGUUGUUACCAUUCCCACCCCCCUCCCCUCUCCCCAUCCCUGCCAGUGUUUGUUAUUUUCUUCUGAUAGCCAGCCUGACCAGACCAAGACAGGAUCAUGAAUAGUAAUUGUGUGCUUGUUUGCUUGGUUUUAAGAUGGUGUGGGGGCCGGGGAUUAGGGUUGUUUGUAGCCCAGACUAGGGGUAUUUGUAGCCCAGACUGGCUUAAACCUGUAGAUAGCUGAGGAGGACCUUGACAUUUUGACCCUCUUACCUGAGUGCUUCAGUUGUGUACCCCGCCAUAUAUGAUCCUGUGCUGGGGAUCGAACCUAGGACUUUCGUGCAUGCUGGGCAGGCACUUUACCGGCUGCAUCACCAACACCCCAUGGUACGGCUUUAAUUUGCAUUUCUGUGUUGGCUGAAAAUGUUGGGCGUUUUCCCGUCAUUUUACUCAGUCCCUUGAGAUCUGUCUCUUCGUUGGGCAAGCUCAUUGAUUGGUUGGAUCCUUUUCCUUCUGUCUUAAAAAAAAAUGUAGUUUUUAACUAUUUGUCCCCUGUCAGAUGUAUAGCAGGUGAAGAUUUUUCUCCCCAAGUUCUAGGUAGCAGGUGUGAGUUCCCUCUCUUCGCCGUUGGACUCUGCGAAUACAUUUGGAAGUAUUUUACACGUUUUCCUCUGACAACCUCACAGUUUCAGGUCUUGCAUUAAAGUCUUUCAUCCAUUCUGAAAUCAGUUUUUAAGAAUUUGAUUUAUUAAUUUUGUGUUGUGUGUGUGUGUUCUGCCUGCGCGUGUGGCUAUCAGCACCACGUUCGUGCUUGGUGGCCCGUGGAUGUCAGAAAGGGCUCCAGAUACCCUGGGACUGAACUUACAGGUGGUUGUGAGCCACCAAAUGGAGUGGAAGCUAGGUCCUGUGUAAGAGCCAACAGUGCUUUGAGCCAGUGAGCUGUACCUCUCUCCAGUCUGAGAAUCAUUUUUCUAAAUAUAGAAGAAAAAAAAAGUCCCCUGUACCCUAGGGUAGCCUUGAACUCAUGACAGUUUGGAAGCAGGACUUGGUGGCAUAGAAGAAAGGAAUCUAGGACACCAUGGUGGCUUGUGGGGCACUUACUCCCAUCCUGCAGGUGCCCAGGAUUUGGUCAUUUUGACCAGUACUAAAUAGAACAGGAUUAUCUAGCUUUCCUUUGAUCUAUAGGUAACACAGUCUACAUUUGGGGCACUUAGGAAGCAUCCCAAAUAGAGACUUAAAUGAAGCCUUAAUUCAUUCUCACAGAUGAAGCUCUGUGAGAUUCAUCUGCUCACCCUAUCAGCCAUUCUUGCUAAUUUGGUAAGCAAAUCUGCCCAUCUCCAGGCAGAAGAGAAAUCAAUAUCUCAAAGGCAGUCCUUCCACGACUGUUAAUGCUGCUUGAAAACCUUCGACUCCUCGCCUGUCCCCAGGACACUGAUGUACGAAGUCCUUUCUCACGGGGGGAAACACCGGCCUCAGGAGUCUCAUAGACGUCGCUCUCAUGGGAUGGUUUCACUGCAGUGGUCAGCAGUCGAGAAGUUUUAUAUUGACUCUUUGGUUUUUGCUUAACAUACAUGGAACCACUCCAUGGAAAGUCCCCACAUUGGUCUUGCUUUUGGUUGCACAGCCCUGAAACUUCCUACUUGUCCACGUGACCUCACUUGUUUGGCCAGAUCUUUGUCUGUUGCCAGAACUGCCAAUAACAUAGGCUUCUCGUAUUGUUUGUUUUUGAUGCUGGGCGCUAAGCCCAGGCCCUUGCACACAUACACACUCUACCUCUAAGCUAGUCCCAGCCUAGGUAGUGUAUUGUCUUAGGGUUUCUGUUGCUGUCACAAAACGCCAUGACCAAAAAGCAAGGGGAGACAAAGGUUUAUUCAGCUUAUACUUCCAGAUCAUAGGUGAUCAUUGGAAGAAGUCAGGGCAGGAACCUGGAGGCAGGAGCUGAUGCAGAGGCCACGGAGGAUGCUGCUUACUGCCUUGUUCUCCAUAGCUGGCUCAGCUGGCUAACUUAGAGCCCAGGACCACCAGCUCAGGGAGGGCUCCACCCACGAUGGGCUGAGCCCUCCCCAUCAAUCACUAACUGAGAAAAUGCCCCAGGACUGCAUCUCACGGAGGCAUUUCCUCAACUGAGGCUCCUUCCUCUCUGGUUUCUUGCUUGUGUUAAGUUGGCACACAAUACCAGUCAGUACAUAUAGUUUUUAGAUUUUCUUUGUAUGAUGUUUUACCUUCAUGUGUGUAUGUACACUGUGUGCCUAGAGCCCACAGAGGCCAGAAGAGGGCAUCGGAUCCUCUGGAAAUGGCAUUCUAGGUAGUUGGGAGCCAUUUGGGUGUUGAGAAUGGAGCCAGGUCCUCUCCAAGAACAGCAAGUGCUCUAAACCACCGACCUAGCCAGCCCUCUAGCACUCUUCCUCCUCCUCCUCCUGUCCCUCCUCUUCCCUUCUUCCUCCUCCCUCUUCUCUUCCUCUUCUUCUUCCUCCUCCUCCCUCUUCUCUUCCUCUUCCUCCUCCUCCUCCUCUUUUUUGAGAUAGGAUUCCAUUGUGACUAUGUAGCCCUGUUUGGCCUGGAAUACCCUAUGUAGACCAGGCUGGCCUUGAACUCACAGAAGUCCAGUUGCUUCUGCUUCCCAAGUGUAAGAUAGUGUUAAACUUCAGUUUCACCCCAUGUCUCCAACACACAUAUCAGGGUUUUCUUCUGCAAGUUCUUGGGGUUUACAUAAAACACACACACACACACACACACACACACACACACACACACACACACACACACACACAUGCCCAAGGACUAAUGUCCCAUUCACAGCACAUCAUUUGUUUAUUGUUUUGUUCUUGCAGGGCACACAUGGGUUUAGUUUGCUAAGCUGGUAUUCAGGCAGCUCCCAGACCCAGGGAGCGUCUGAUACAGAGUGAUGGAGGAUUUGUUCUCAACCCCCACCACCCACUUCUGACUUCACCUCUGAAAGAGCUCCCUCAGUGCGGAAUAACUUAAUGCCAUGGUGACUACAGAAACCAUACUCUUACAAGUUCUUAAAUAUGUAGAACUCAGAAAACUUGAUCCCACUUCAGUGUGUAAUUUGUAUUAAUAUUGUAUUUAUACUUGAAGUCUUGGAAUUUGGGUUGGUCUGCCAACAAAGGAACAGAUCACAGAUGGAGAGAGGCUUAAACAAUGGAAGUGUGUCACCUUCGGGUCUGGAGGUUGGAAGCCAGAGAUGGAGCUGCUUCCUGAGGGCAGAAGCAGGAUCUGAAGUAGGCCUCGCCCUUGGCUUGUAGAAGAGCAUCCUUUCUCCCUGUGUGCCAUGCCAGAAUUUCUCCUGGGGAGGGCACCAGUCAUGGUGAGCAGAGGCCACCCUAACGCUCAUGCGGACAUAGCGGCUUCUGUAAAGACCAGCGAUACCGAGGUACUAGAGACUAGACUUGACAUGUGGGGACACAAACUGAUCCAUAGAAGGAGCUCUAACAACCAGCCUGUGGCAUUUCUACCAAGCAUCGUGCACAGGGUGCAGAGCAUGGGUCCCAGUUCAGGUUGGUCCCCAGGAAUCUCCAGGCUGGUGGAGAGCUGCAGGGUUGAGUCCCUUCUUGCAUGGAGGCCAUGGAGCAAGCCUGUCUCGGGAGGAGGUGCGGCCCCUUGCUGCUUGCCAGCUCUUCGCUUACUCAGAUCUGCCUAGAGUCAGUACGGAAACACAUACGUGAGUCACCUCACCCGGGCACCAGAACCUUGCCAUUCUCCUAACGUUUAAUCAAAACUCCCUGCUUAAAGCUGAAUGGAUGACUGCUCUCUCAUCUCCAAGUAUGUGACUGUAGUCAUUUUCUUAUUUGCUCUUUGCAGUGACUCCUGAGUACUGUCCAAACACAUAUGUGCUGUGGCGUCCUGGCCAUCAGAAAACCACACCAACAUCUGACGCUGUGGGGCGGCGGUUCUCAACCUGUGGGCUAUGACCCCUUUGGCCAACCCCUAUGGCCAGAAAUAUUUACAGUGCGGUUCAAAACAGUAGCAAAAUGACAAUUAUGAAGUAGCAACAAAAUUAAUUUUAUGGUUGGCAGUCACCACAGCGUGAGGAACUGUGUUAAAGGGUCGCAGCGUAAGGGAGGUUGGGACCCCCUGCAGUGGAGUGGUAGCCAGGGGUGUCUUUAUUCAGAGUUGGUUUAUAGUUGAAGCUCAACUGUUUCUCUGACAGGCUGCAUUGGUAGAGAUCUGUACAUAGAGCUCUUUAAAGUUAUUGUUCAGCUCUUUAUGAGUAAUUUGCCGUUUUAAAAGCUUGUGAUGGCCCAUGAUAUUCUUUGAUAAUAAUGCUUUAUAUGAGAGGCAGGAGCAUCAUAGUUUAAAAGUUUUUACAUCACUGGGCUGGUAAAGAGCACUCAGCAGGUAAAGGGGUCUGCUGCCAAACCUGGCAAACAAUUUAAAUCCCAGGGUCCAUAUGGUGGAAGAAGAGAACAGACCUCCUGCAGGUUGUCCUCAAACCACAUGUAUGCCAUAAUAGUAAAUAAAUAGAUGCAUUAUUUUUGUUACAUUGCUAGAUAGAUUGGUAAUAGCCCACCACCUGUUACUUGCAGUGAGUGGGAGAGCAACGGGACACAUCUCUCUGCCCAUCAUCAACAGAGAGCCAGCCUAUAGCGUGAGAGGAGCCCUCUCCUGAAAUUCACUGUUGCUUCUUGUGAAUUUUAUUUGUAGAAAACAAAAACCAAGCUGGGGGUGGUAGGGCCCAAGGCCUUGAGAGGCAUAGUUAAGAAGAGCUUCAAAAGAUUGAAGCCAACCAAGUCUAACUAGUGAAUUCCAGGCCAGUCAAUGCUACCUUGAGAGAAAGACCCUGCUUCAACAAACAAACAAACAAACAAACAAAAGUAAAACAAAACCCCAACCCCCAAGGCUUACUGCUUUUAUCCAAUUAAAAAAGAAAAAAUAAUUUUUUCUUACUGGAAAAUUGAAGUUACCGGAAUAUGCCUGUAGAGAAAAUUGUCUUUGAGGUUAUUGCUGGCGUGUGUAGACUUGAAAGGAAGUACAUGCUAGGAACUACUAGAUCGUAAAGUCGAAGGCUAUACUAAUAGGACAGAGUGGGCUGUGACCGUCACGAGUUUAGGGAUUUUUUUUUAAAGAAGAUUGUUUUUAGAAAGAUUAUUAUUAUUAUUUAUUUAUUUAUUUUAUUUAUAUUAAUACACUGUUGCUGUUUUCAGACUCAUCAGAAGAGGGCAUCAAAUCUCAUUACAGGUGGUCGUGAGCCACCAUGUGGCUGCUGGGAUUUGAACUCAGGACCUUCGGAAGAGCAGUCAGUGCUCUUAACCGCUGAGCCGUCUCUCCAGCCCUAGGGUUUCUUUCUUGAUUAAAAAUGUAAACAGAUCAUGGUGCAUAUACUUAAACUGUUGAAUUGUAUUCUUAAGUAGGUAGUCUUCACUGUCAGGAGACACCCUUAACUACUCCUCUGGGUGUGUUAAACCAAAUAGGGAAGACGUGCUCCGACUGUGGGCGCGGGGCUCCCAAACCAAAGGUGAGCAGAACUGCCUGAUGCAGGUUGAUCUCUCUGCUUCCGGCUCCUGGCGCAGCGAACCAGCUACUUCCGGCCGUGAUGGACCGUUCUUAGAAAUAAUCUUUCUAAGAACAAUCUUCUUCUCAGACUGACAAACCCGCCAUUCCUUACGUUGCUUUUUCUGGGUCCGUUUCUCCUUCUGGUCUUUUCAUCUCCUAAAGCAGUCGCAGUGAAAGACAGAUCAGGCAAACACUCGUUCUCCCCUGUGCAGAAAUGCAGUGGUCCCAGAUGUGUGCAGUGGAAGUUGUUUACACAGACCGAGUCUGCAAGCCCAGAGAUGAAGGCCCGCUCAGGAAAACUCUGAUUAGAGAAAAAUAGGCCACCUCACUCACUUGAUGGAAAAUCCAGGAUUUCCUGAUGUGGGUCCCUCGAUUGUUUAAGGGCCGUCAACCAAAUAGUUGUCCGAAGUAAAAUAGAAGUUUGACAAAUGCAGCAACUGUGUGAAAGAAA